rnacentral:rRNA from 1 species
CGGUGAAUACGUUCCCGGGCCUUGUACACACCGCCCGUCACCACCAUGGGAGCCGGUAAUACCCGAAGUCAGUAGCCUAACCGCAAGGGGGGGCGCUGCCGAAGGUAGGAUUGGCGACUGGGGUGAAGUCGUAACAAGGUACC